UACGGAGGAUGCAAGCGUUAUCCGGAUUUAUUGGGUUUAAAGGGUACGUAGGCGGGAAAUUAAGUCAGUGGUGAAAUCCUACAGCUUAACUGUAGAACUGUCAUUGAUACUGGUUUCCUUGAAUAUGGUUGAGGUAGGCGGAAUGUGUAAUGUAGCGGUGAAAUGCUUAGAUAUUACACAGAACACCGAUUGCGAAGGCAGCUUACUAAGCCAUGAUUGACGCUGAGGUACGAAAGCGUGGGGAGCGAACAGG
rnacentral:rRNA from 1 species